rnacentral:rRNA from 1 species
GAUGAACGCUGGCGGCGUGCUUAACACAUGCAAGUCGAACGAAGCACUUUAGUUGAUUUCUUCGGAUUGAUUCUAAAGUGACUUAGUGGCGGACGGGUGAGUAACACGUGAGUAACCUGCCCUUGAGUGGGGAAUAACACACCGAAAGGUGUGCUAAUACCGCAUAACAUAACGGAAUCGCAUGUUUCUGUUAUCAAAGAUUUAUUGCUCAAGGAUGGGCUCGCGGCCGAUUAGAUAGUUGGUGAGGUAACGGCUCACCAAGUCGACGAUCGGUAGCCGGACUGAGAGGUUGAACGGCCACAUUGGGACUGAGACACGGCCCAGACUCCUACGGGAGGCAGCAGUGGGGAAUAUUGCACAAUGGGGGAAACCCUGAUGCAGCGACGCCGCGUGAAGGAUGAAGGUCUUCGGAUCGAAACUUUUGUCUUCAGGGUACGAUAAUGACGGUACCUGAGGAGGAAGCCACGGCUAACUACGUGCCAGCAGCCGCGGU